GAAGAACGAUGGAGGCGUGCUUAACACAUGCAAGUCGAACGGAAAGGCCCUGCUUUUGUGGGGUGCUCGAGUGGCGAACGGGUGAGUAACACGUGAGUAACCUGCCCUUGACUUUGGGAUAACUUCAGGAAACUGGGGCUAAUACCGGAUAGGAGCUCCUGCUGCAUGGUGGGGGUUGGAAAGUUUCGGCGGUUGGGGAUGGACUCGCGGCUUAUCAGCUUGUUGGUGGGGUAGUGGCUUACCAAGGCUUUGACGGGUAGCCGGCCUGAGAGGGUGACCGGCCACAUUGGGACUGAGAUACGGCCCAGACUCCUACGGGAGGCAGCAGUGGGGAAUAGUGCACAAGGGGCGGAAGCCUGAUGCAGCAACGCCGCGUGCGGGAUGACGGCCUUCGGGUUGUAAACCGCUUUCGCCUGUGACGAAGCGUGAGUGACGGUAAUGGGUAAAGAAGCACCGGCUAACUACGUG
rnacentral:rRNA from 1 species